CCUACGGGGGGCUGCAGUGGGGGAUAUUACACAAUGGGGGAAACCCUGAUGCAGCGACGCCGCGUGGGUGAAGAAGCGCCUCGGCGCGUAAAGCCCUGUCAGCAGGGAAGAAAAUGACGGUACCUGAAGAAGAAGCCCCGGCUAACUACGUGCCAGCAGCCGCGGUAAUACGUAGGGGGCAAGCGUUAUCCGGAUUUCCUGGGUGUAAAGGGGGCGCAGCCGGGGAUGCAAGCCAGGAGGGAAAGCCCGGGGCCCAACCCCGGGACUGCACUUGGAACUGCGUGGCUAGAGUGCAGGAGGGGCAGGCGGAAUUCCUGGUGUAGCGGUGAAAUGCGUAGAUAUCAGGAGGAACACCGGUGGCGAAGGCGGCCUGCUGGACUGCAACUGACGUUGAGGCCCGAAAGCGUGGGGAGCAAACAGGAUUAGAUACCCUAGUAGUC
rnacentral:rRNA from 1 species